GCCGUGACUCAGUGGGGGAGCAUCUGCUUGGCGUGCGGAAGGUCUCAAGUUCAAUCCCUGGCAUCUCCA
rnacentral:tRNA from 1 species